rnacentral:rRNA from 1 species
GACGUAGGGCGCGAGCGUUGUCCGGAUUUAUUGGGCGUAAAGAGCUCGUAGGCGGUUUGUCGCGUCGUUCGUGAAAACUCACAGCUUAACUGUGAGCUUGCGGUCGAUACGGGCAGGCUAGAGUUCGGUAGGGGAGACUGGAAUUCCUGGUGUAGCGGUGAAAUGCGCAGAUAUCAGGAGGAACACCGGUGGCGAAGGCGGGUCUCUGGGCCGUAACUGACGCUGAGGAGCGAAAGCGUGGGGAGCGAACAGG